UACAGAGGGUGCAAGCGUUGUUCGGAAUUACUGGGCGUAAAGCGCGUGUAGGCUGCGAUGUAAGUCGGAUGUGAAAUCCCCGGGCUUAACCUGGGAACUGCAUUUGAAACUAUGGAGCUAGAGCGUGUCAGAGGGGGGUAGAAUUCCACGUGUAGCAGUGAAAUGCGUAGAGAUGUGGAGGAAUACCGAUGGCGAAGGCAGCCCCCUGGGAUGACACUGACGCUCAUGCACGAAAGCGUGGGGAGCAAACAGG
rnacentral:rRNA from 1 species